UUCCAUCAAAUGUUCAAUGUUGAUCUGAUUAAAAAGGUUCAAAAACUAUUCUUGAGGUUUCUUUGUCAGAAAGUUUGGUAUCUAUCCAUACAUGAUUUCAUUGUUUUUACAGUUUCAUUGUUUUACCUUUUUAUUAUACAGGGUGUCCAGAAACUCUACCGUCAAACGAAUACUGGAGAUUCCUCAGAUAAUUUUAAGACAAUUUAACCAAAUUCACCCAGUCCGAAAAUGCUUCCUAAGGGAGCUAGAGCUCUUUGAAGAUGGCGUCUUGUAAUUAGUUUUUCUUAAAUACCUCCAGAACGCUUCUAGUUAGAAAAACGAAAAUUGGUGCACAUAUUUAUCUUCCAGAGAACUCUUACGGAUUGUAGUAUUUCUAGAAAUUAUAUUGUGGGCGGUAUCGAGAAGUGCAGUCUACAUUGAUGAAGGGUUGUUUAAGUCGGCAAAAAACAAAUGCCAGUUGAUUUGAGAGAAUUUAGCGUCGACUUAAAAACAAUCGGUUGCCUGAAUCAAUUACAAACAAGCUUUACGGCGCAGAAAAUUUGCUUGGUUUAAAAAUAGACUAUAGUGACAUUACAUUGUUUUCGGGUUUAUAGGAAUUGUUCCGUCUGUAAACUUAGGUUACUCGUUUAUCAGUGAUUGAAGAAACCACUCCUCACCACCACUGUCACUGUUUAUAAACCCUGAAAUCAAUGUACCAUUAUAAAACCCCAACUUCGAAACUCUUACUCCUUAAUAUUUUUAUUGUAUGAUUUUUUGCAUCUGCAUCUGAAUAGGUGCUAAAGCAAGGUUCAACAUAGGGGAGCCAAUAGAGUUUUGCUUAAGGAAAAAAUCAAACAAGAUAGAACUUUUUGUAAUUUCAUUAAGAAAUGUUUAAUAAACGACAUAUCAAAAAGUUCUACUCCAGAAGUGGGUGCUUUAUUUUUUAUUAAACAAAUGAACUGCGAAAUUAGUUGUUUUUAAAUACAUACGAAAAUAUAAAUCUUAGAAAAAAUGGACUUGAUUGACCAUUGGAAAAUUCAAAAAAA
rnacentral:lncRNA from 1 species